GUUGGUGACACGACAUCGUGGUCACACCCGGUCCCAUUCCGAACCCGGAAGUUAAGCACGAUCGUGCCGAUGAUACUCCUUGUGGGGAAAGUAGGUAGUCGCCAGCA
rnacentral:rRNA from 1 species